AAGUCGUAACAAGGUCUCCGUUGGUGAACCAGCGGAGGGAUCAUUACCAGAGUGCCCUAGGCUCUCCAACCCAUUGUGAACAUACCUAUCGUUCCCUCGGCGGGCUCAGCGCGCGGUGCCUCCGGGCUCCGGGCGUCCGCCGGGGACAACCAAACUCUGAUUUUAUUGUGAAUCUCUGAGGGGCGAAAGCCCGAAAACAAAAUGAAUCAAAACUUUCAACAACGGAUCUCUUGGCUCUG
rnacentral:misc_RNA from 2 species